UUUCGGGGUACACGAGCGGCGAACGGGUGAGUAACACGUGGGUGAUCUGCCCUGCACUCUGGGAUAAGCUUGGGAAACUGGGUCUAAUACCGGAUAUGACCACAGUGUGCAUGUGUUGUGGUGGAAAGAUUUAUCGGUGCAGGAUGGGCCCGCGGCCUAUCAGCUUGUUGGUGGGGUAAUGGCCUACCAAGGCGACGACGGGUAGCCGACCUGAGAGGGUGACCGGCCACACUGGGACUGAGACACGGCCCAGACUCCUACGGGAGGCAGCAGUGGGGAAUAUUGCACAAUGGGCGGAAGCCUGAUGCAGCGACGCCGCGUGAGGGAUGAAGGCCUUCGGGUUGUAAACCUCUUUCAGCAGGGACGAAGCGUGAGUGACGGUACCUGCAGAAGAAGCACCGGCUAACUACGUGCCAGCAGCCGCGGUAAUACGGAGGG
rnacentral:rRNA from 1 species